CCUGGCUUAGGAUGAACGCUAGCUACAGGCUUAACACAUGCAAGUCGAGGGGCAGCAGGAUUGUGCUUGCACAGAUGCUGGCGACCGGCGCACGGGUGAGUAACGCGUAUCCAACCUCCCCAUAGUAGAGGAUAGCCCGGCGAAAGUCGGAUUAAUACUCUAUGUUGUGUCAUGAGGACAUCUGAAUAACACUAAAGAUUUAUCGCUAUGGGAUGGGGAUGCGUCUGAUUAGGUAGUCGGCGGGGUAACGGCCCACCGAGCCGACGAUCAGUAGGGGUUCUGAGAGGAAGGUCCCCCACAUUGGUACUGAGACACGGACCAAACUCCUACGGGAGGCAGCAGUGAGGAAUAUUGGUCAAUGGGCGCGAGCCUGAACCAGCCAAGUAGCGUGCAGGAAUGACUGCCCUAUGGGUUGUAAACUGCUUUUAUCAGGGAAUAAAGUGAGGCACGUGUGCCUUUUUGUAUGUACCUGGUGAAUAAGGACCGGCUAAUUCCGUGCCAGCAGCCGC
rnacentral:rRNA from 1 species